GACGAACGCUGGCGGCGUGCUUAACACAUGCAAGUCGAACGGAAAGGCCCUGCUUUGGUGGGGUGCUCGAGUGGCGAACGGGUGAGUAACACGUGAGUAACCUGCCCUUGACUUUGGGAUAACUUCAGGAAACUGGGGCUAAUACCGGAUAGGAGCUCCUGCUGCAUGGUGGGGGUUGGAAAGUUUCGGCGGUUGGGGAUGGACUCGCGGCUUAUCAGCUUGUUGGUGGGGUAGUGGAUUACCAAGGCUUUGACGGGUAGCCGGCCUGAGAGGGUGACCGGACACAUUGGGCCUGAGAUGCGGCACAGCCUCCUCCCGGAGGCAGCAGUGGGGAAUAUUGCACAAUGGGCGGAAGCCUGAUGCAGCAACGCCGCGUGCGGGAUGACGGCCUUCGGGUUGUAAACCGCUUUCGCCUGUGACGAAGCGUGAGUGACGGUAAUGGGUAAAGAAGCACCGGCUAACUACGUG
rnacentral:rRNA from 1 species